UUUCACAGCCGCAUGCCUUGAGUCCUUAUCCCAUUGCUGUUGUUCGGCUGCCAAAGAUUUUUCACGCAUGCAAGCCCAGGCACGCAUCGUUCCAGCUCCAUGUCCCACGGGAUAUUUCUUAUCUCCUGUGCGCUCACUCAACUGGAUGAGUCUCCUGCGUACCGGUCUUUGAUUUUUCUCUGGAAUGUGCUUGAGCUUGUACAGGCUGUGGCCUUAUCCAUCGCUCGAUUCAUCUCCCUGUCUUUAUCUUCUCCAAGCCGUGGAGCUUCUUCCCCAGCGCGCCCCUCUCCCUGGCUCUUCCCUGCGCGCCGCGGUGCUCCAGCUUGGCCCUGCUCAACUCGCCUCUACACAGCGUUCCUCUGCUCGGCCCUUUUUCCCCUGCACGCGAGCUUUGCGUCUUCCUGCGCGCCGGCUCCUGCUGGG
rnacentral:misc_RNA from 1 species